CAGUGCCAUGUCGAAAGGGCAU
rnacentral:miRNA from 1 species